GGUAGCGUGGCCGAGCGGUCUAAGGCGCUGGAUUAAGUCUCUUCGGAGGCGUGGGUUCAAAUCCCACUGCUGCCA